GAUUAACGCUAGCGGCAGGCCUAAUACAUGCAAGUCGAACGGCAGCGGGUGUAGCAAUACAUGCCGGCGAGUGGCGCACGGGUGCGUAACGCGUAUGCAAUCUACCUAUAACUGGGGAAUAGCCUUCCGAAAGGAAGAUUAAUACCGCAUAACAUCACGGAACGGCAUCGUUUUGUGAUCAAAACUCAGGUGGUUAUAGAUGAGCAUGCGUGACAUUAGCUAGUUGGUGAGGUAACGGCUCACCAAGGCGACGAUGUCUAGGGGGUCUGAGAGGAUGAUCCCCCACACUGGUACUGAGACACGGACCAGACUCCUACGGGAGGCAGCAGUAAGGAAUAUUGGACAAUGGGCGCAAGCCUGAUCCAGCCAUGCCGCGUGCAGGAUGAAAGUGCUAUGCACUGUAAACUGCUUUUGUUUGGGAAAAAACCCCUGGUUUCUACCGGGGCUGAUUGUACC
rnacentral:rRNA from 1 species